UGGGGAAUAUUGGACAAUGGAGGAAACUCUGAUCCAGCAAUUCUGUGUGUGUGAAGAAGGUUUUAGGACUGUAAAACACUUUUCGUAGGGCAGAAAAAAAUGACGGUACCUACAGAAGAAGCAACGGCUAAAUACGUGCCAGCAGCCGCGGUAAUACGUAUGUUGCGAGCGUUAUCCGGAAUUAUUGGGCUUAAAGGGCAUCUAGGCGGUAAGACAAGUUGAAGGUGAAAACCUGUGGCUCAACCAUAGGCUUGCCUACAAAACUGUGGAACUAGAGAACUUGAAAGGUGGGUGGAACUACACGAGUAGAGGUGAAAUUCGUAGAUAUGUGUAGGAAUGCCGAUGAUGAAGAUAACGCACUGGACAGAAACUGACGCUGAAGUGCGAAAGCUAGGGGAGCAAACAGG
rnacentral:rRNA from 1 species